UACACUCCUGCGGGAGGCAGCAGUGGGGAAUAUUGGACAAUGGGCGCAAGCCUGAUCCAGCCAUGCCGCGUGAGUGAUGAAGGCCCUAGGGUUGUAAAGCUCUUUCACCGGUGAAGAUAAUGACGGUAACCGGAGAAGAAGCCCCGGCUAACUUCGUGCCAGCAGCCGCGGUAAUACGAAGGGGGCUAGCGUUGUUCGGAUUUACUGGGCGUAAAGCGCACGUAGGCGGACUAUUAAGUCAGGGGUGAAAUCCCGGGGCUCAACCCCGGAACUGCCUUUGAUACUGGUAGUCUUGAGUUCGAGAGAGGUGAGUGGAAUUCCGAGUGUAGAGGUGAAAUUCGUAGAUAUUCGGAGGAACACCAGUGGCGAAGGCGGCUCACUGGCUCGAUACUGACGCUGAGGUGCGAAAGCGUGGGGAGCAAACAGGAUUAGAUACCCUUGUAGUCCCAUGAU
rnacentral:rRNA from 1 species